rnacentral:rRNA from 1 species
AUUGAACGCUGGCGGCAGGCCUAACACAUGCAAGUCGAACGAGUGGCGGACGGGUGAGUAAUGUCUGGGAAACUGCCUGAUGGAGGGGGAUAACUACUGGAAACGGUAGCUAAUACCGCAUACCAUCAGAUGGGCCCAGAUGGGAUUAGUUAGUUGGUGGGGUAACGGCUCACCAAGGCGAAGAUCCCUAGCUGGUCUGAGAGGAUGACCGGCAAACUGGGAACUGGGACACGGUCAAGACUCCUACGGGAGGCAGCAGUGGGGAAUAUUGCACAAUGGGCGCAAGCCUGAUGCAGCCAUGCCGCGUGUAUGAAGAAGGCCUUCGGGUUGUAAAGUACUUUCAGCGGGGAGGCGUUACCCGCAGAAGAAGCACCGGCUAACUCCGUGCCAGCAGCCGCGGUAAUUC